GUUGUGGCUCAGGGGCCAGCACCUGCUAGUACCAGGACACUACUGGGAGGCUGGGACCUGACCAAAGCUCAUGGUGUCUGUUGCCUGAGGACAGGGUGUCUUGGGCCAUAAGGCCAGGCCACCAAUGGCCAUUGGGUCAUAGGGGCUCAGCCCCAGUGUUUGCCCUUCCCUGGCUCCUUCUGGUUCGGUCCUAUCAGGGCCCUGGAGCCCAAGACCCAGCAUCCAAGGUCCCCUCCAGGAAUCCUGGCGGCUCAGCUUACUUUGUCAUGUUUCAUCUGAGAGCAAAAAUGUCAGAUCGGCUGCACAGAAAAAUGGCUCAAAGUACUUAAUGACUAGAAGAAAUCUAGGAGCAGCAAGAAGAUGUCUCGGCUGCUCUACAAGGGAGUCCCAUUUCAGGUGUGGUGCUGGGCAUGGUCACUCCUGCUGAAUGUCUAGAAGGUGAAAACCAAGGACCUAGGGAAAUACCAGGUACAGCCUUUCCACCCUCAUCCAGAGCGGGACAAACAGGCCAGGCGGUGUCAGGAGCACAGGUCUCCAGCUGGAGGGAGUGUCAGCCCUGCAGUAGGAGUCCAUCACGCAUCCUAGGCACAUAUGCUAAUGUAGGUAUCACAGGGCCUAUGACCGGAUGCACAACUUUAGACACCAUCAUCCUGGAGCAGCUC
rnacentral:lncRNA from 1 species